GGUCAGGCGGCUGCAGUGUUUUGGCCGGCGUUGGUCAGUCUUGCCCCACAAAAUCUGCUAAUAAGUGUUUCUGUAUUCCCAGCAGCUUCUCCUUGUACCAAACACCGCCACGCAGCACCAGAGAGCCAUGAGUACAUAAGGAAGGCGUGUGCGUGGCCGCGGUGCCUCAGGAGUGCAGGAAACAGGCAUGUUUGUAAACUGACCGCACUGCGGCGUUCUGGUGACUCAGGUGCUUCCAGGUAACUCUCGCCAGACUAGACCAUAUUUCAUGCUGGAAAUUAUUAGUGAAGUGAGUAGUGGGUGACCUGCGCUGCGUGCAUGUGCUGAUGACAGUUGCCCAUUUUCUACACUAAUGUUUUGACCAAUCGGGAAUAAGAAAUGUGGUGAGGAUGAAAGUGAGUUUAGUCCAAGAUUUGUCAUCGUCAUUGCUUCAGUAAGUGUUUUAUGUAAACCUCCCUCGAGGAUGCGGAUGUUUGUGACGACUUACAAUCCUGGACGUUAUUGAUCUGUUUUUCCUGUGUAAGGGAAGCUGCCAGUCGUGUUACCUUGAAGCAGCCUCACUGUGUCCAAGAUUACUGUUCUGUUAUCAUCUUUAAGACGUGUGUUAUUGACGUGAACAAAUAUGUUUACACUUUUAUAUAAAAAAAAUUAUGUAACAGUUCAGUGUUUUCCUGAAAUAUAAUUGUGCAUUGUAGCAGUGAGUACUGACUCUCUCUCUCUCUCUCUCUCUCUCUCUCUCUCUCUCUCUCUCUCUCUCUCUCUCUCUCUCUCUCUCUCUCUCUCUCUCUCUCUCUGAUAUUGAAGUGAAUAAAAAAUACGAAUAAAAAAAAAGAGGAACAGGAAGAACGAGCAGAAAGAAGUGAAGAGCUAAGGCGGAAGUAGAGAAAAGAAUAAAAAUGUUAACCAAAGAAAUCAGAACACGGAGAGAGAGGAGAUGAAAGGUGAGAUAAAGAGAAAGAGAGGCAUGGAAAUAAUAAAGAGAGGGAUAAAAGUGUGCUUGUAGACAAAAAGUGGAAAAGAAAAAGAAAAGAGAGGAGAGAGGAGAGGAAAGAAAAGAGAGGCAAUGAAGUAAUAAAGAAAGGAAGAAUAAGAUGCUUAUAAAGAAAAAAUGGAAGAGAAGGAGAGAGAAAAGGAAAGAAAAUGGAGAGGCAAUUAUGUAAUAAAGAAAAGAAGAAAAAUACGGACAAGGAAAGACCUGUAAUUGAGAGAGAGAUGGAAGAAGAGGAGAUAAGAAACUGACAAAAUUGACGGUAAAAAAAGAAAAAAAAUGGAACUGGAAGAAGGAAGAGAUAGAAGAGGAAAGAAGAAAAGAACAAAAUUAAAGAUAAAAAAAAAUAACAGAGAGAGAGAGAGAGAGAGAGAGAGAGAGAGAGAGAGAGAGAGAGAGAGAGAGAGAGAGAGAGAGAGAGAGAGAGAGAGAGAGAGCAAAAAAAAAAGUGGAACAGGAAGCGAGAAGGAGAAAAGACUGAAAAAAAAAAGAAAAUGGAAGGGAAAGUGUCAGCGUGUCAAGCCCUUCCUCACAAAACUGCAGGUGUCGUGUGAAUUUUUCCCUCCACUCCCUAGACGACCUAUUUUGAGGCGACUGAGAGGCGUGAAGACACCCUCUGACACGUGGCCUUUGCGGGGAGGCGGCGGCUGGAAGGGAGGGAGAAAGGGAGGAAGAGGAGCCGCAAGGGGUAUCAAGUCACUUUUAAAAAUAUGAACUCAUCCUUUUUCCUUGACAUACUUACACGCAGAACUUCCUUACCUGACUGAUUCUCCAAGGAACACAAAGGAGGAACAAUCAGCCACAGAUUUGUUGAACCUUAUCCCUUUUACUCGUACGGUCAUCCUUCAUUAAAUUCUUAGUAAUGUAAAAAUAGCUUACAUGGAGACAUAAAAGAAAAAAAAAGAGAAAACAGA